rnacentral:sRNA from 1 species
CGAUCAGGGUGGGCGAGAUGAAGUGGACAUGGGCGUCGACCGCCCCGGCGGUGAGGAUUCUGCCCUGGCCCGCGAUGAUCUCCGUCUCGGGGCCGAUCACCAGCUCGGGGUGGACCCCGUCCAUGGUGUCGGGGUUGCCCGCCUUGCCGAUGCCGGUGAUCCGCCCGUCGCGGAUGCCGACAUCGGCCUUGACGACCCCCCAGUGGUCGAGGAUCACGGCACCGGUGAUCACGGUGUCCGGCGCGCCUUCGGCCCGGGUCGUCCGGGCCUGUCCCAUGGACUCCCGGAUCA